CGCCAGGCGGUGCCAGGCCGGCCUGGUAGGUGAUGCUCGCCACCAGGAUUCCCAGCAGCAUGAGAUACUUGCGCUUGGCGUUCAGCUUCUUUUGUAGUACCUCAUCUUCUGUCUUCGGGGUCUCCUUGGUAGACGGCUUCUCUGCAUCAUUCUCUGGUUUCAGGUUCUUCUCCAAGUCUGCAUCUGUUUCCAGGGAGGCACUGGGUUUCUCUGCUCCGUUGUCCCGUUCCUUGGAUGCCUGCUCUGCUUUCCUGUCUUUUUUCUUUUUAGCUUUGUCCCUCUGAUCCCUUUUCUCAUGGAUGACCAAGAACACAACAGCCA
rnacentral:lncRNA from 1 species